rnacentral:misc_RNA from 1 species
AAAGUGCGAUAUGUACUGCGCUGUGCGCGAAAUGCGCAGUCAUUCUUCGAAUACACAUUGUCCUGUCUGGCGAAUAGCCGGCAGGGCAUCUGCUUCAGGGUUGUUGAUUAGUUUCGCGUUUGGUUGGUCGCUACUGCUUCCUCCACUCGCUUCGCCGGGGGUGUCACCACCACGUGUGUCCCCCCGUAAUGUGUCCUCGUUGCUCUUGCUUCUGUGGACUUGGGUGUAUGGCAGUCUGGUUCAUUGCUUGCAUUGUUCCGUGUAUUGCUUCUCCCUAUUAUUUUGACCCGACCUGAAGUCAGGUGUGACUACCCGCUGAACUUAA